rnacentral:rRNA from 1 species
UACGGAGGGGGCUAGCGUUGUUCGGAAUUACUGGGCGUAAAGGGCGCGUAGGCGGCCUGUUAAGUCGAACGUGAAAUCCCUGGGCUCAACCCAGGAACUGCGUCCGAUACUGGCAGGCUUGAAUUCGGGAGAGGGAUGUGGAAUUCCAGGUGUAGCGGUGAAAUGCGUAGAUAUCUGGAGGAACACCGGUGGCGAAGGCGGCAUCCUGGACCGAUAUUGACACUGAGGAGCGAAAGCCAGGGGAGCAAACGGG